AUCAAAAUAUAUGUCAAAAUCUGGAUAACUGAUCACUAAAUACACUUUGUUACUCUAUAAAAAGCACAACAGAAUUCACCAGAUCAUCCAGUUUCAGUUUAGAGUCUAGACAAGGUCAAAUUUGGUUAAAAUGGCUUUUCUUGUUUUGCAGGAUCAAAGACUCUAGUUGCAUUGUGAAGUUGUACGAUGUAAGUUAGUUCAGGAUUAGGGUCAAGGUCAAGGGUGGAAUUCGGGACUCUCAUCUUGUGCAGUUAGGUAAGUUGAAUUAUGGAUAAUGAACAUGUCCCAAGCCAUGGAUGAUGCUAUCUUAAACAAUUCAUUCGAUAUCUGAUAUAAUGUAGCCUAUUUAAUGGUUUUUUGAACCAGUUUCUAUUCCUUAGACAGUUUGAAAAAGAUAAAAUGGUUGGGCCAUAUUUUGAUCCAGAAUACGAAAACUUAAGCAUCAGAAUAAAUCCUCCCAGGUUCCUAAUCUGUCUAAAUCAUCCGCAAAGAUAUUGUAUCAUACACCUGUCUCUAACUUAGUUUUUUUUUUCAGGGUUUCUGUGGAUAACUCCAGUUGUAGUGACUGUACCCUAGUAAAGGUUGACAGCAUGAACAAACCAGGAAUAUUGUUAGAAGUCAUACAAAUCCUAACUGACCUUGAUCUAAUCAUCACCAAAGCUUACAUUUCUACUGAUGGUGGAUGGUUCAUGGAUGGUAUGUUGUUCUUCAAUUUAAGAUUUCUUCAAUUCUUUUAUCUUGACACAUUGACAGCUAAAUUUUUUGUGUUUUUCUUAAUCACAUACUCUGUAUCUUUUUACUUUAGAAUAUAGCUCAUCUUAGAUAUACACUCUUGCUUUGACUGGCGAUCAAUGUUUGAUAUUUUUUUCCCCUUGUGAAAAAACAGUCUUCCAUGUUACUGACCAAAAUGGGAAGAAGAUUACAGAGUACAGAGUACAGACAGCAAAACCAUAGAAUAUAUAGAAAAGGUACAAAUACUAAUUUGAGAUGGUCAAGGCUGGCAAGGACUUCUUUGGAUUAGUCAUGCUAGCCGAUUGACGAAAAUGAAAGAUGACGAAAAUGAAAGAUGACAUCCAAACCAAUCUCCCCUUGCUAUGGUAUUGAACAAUCCAAAAUGAAUAGAUUCAUUCAAAAAUUUAAGCAUGCAUUAUUAUUAUUAAUCCAUUGGGGGGAGCAAAAUUAGGAGAGACCAAUGUACCUUCCUUCUGGGUAUUAUUCGAAGAAAAUCUUGAAAUUUCCGAUUCAAACAUCAACGGAAGUGGAGAGUAAGCCUGCAAAUAUUAUUCUACAUGUAAAAAUGGAACGAAUUUAUAUACAAAUUCGGUUUAUUUAGGGAAAGCAUGUGUAAAUGGAAUUAAAGUAAUAGAAAAAAAAAUCAGCCCCAAAUCAUAGUGAGAAGUAAUGGCGAAGAAAAAUUACUUCCAGCAAAAUUGAGAGAAGGGAGGUCGGCACUUACUCCGUACUUUUUAUGAAGAACAAGCGAUUAACUUUGUUAAGUUAAUCAGAGAACCGCUCAAGCUCCAUGGACAGCGUCUCUUUAGGAAAAGAAAAAGGAAUUCUACAGAAGCUUUGUGUCUUUGGGAAAGAAAGAAGGAAGGUCAAGUGAUUAUCUAUCCAAGUAAACUCAAACGUGGAGGCUAGGAUUGCAUUAAAAUUUUAAAGACACUUGUCAAGAUCAUGCAAGUGUUGUAAUUAUAAGUUACAACAAGGGUAUAAAAGGAAUAAAAAAAUUACGUAAGAGUAAGAUGAAAACAAAGUUGGAUGAGGGCUUUUUUUUAUAGAAGAGAGGAUAGAAUUCAUCCGUCUUUAGAUGAAGUUUCUAUCCAAGGAUUCUAUUUCAAAUAUAAUAAGUUAUACAUUACUAGAAUUUCUUCAAUUCGCAUCUUAUAUCUUACUCCUCCGUUCUUUUCUAGAUUACUCAAUUUUUUUGCCACAUUUAUCCAUACACGAUACAAAUACUAAUAUCUUUAUUUAUGAAUAAGAAAAAUAUAUGGUGUUUCGUUAGGAGAGGUUUGAAAGAAAAAGAGUUUUUUGGGGUGAAUUAGAGGUUUGACUUUUAGAAAAACCUAUUUGGAAGUGUUUGGUUAUGAGAGGUUUGGAAGAGAGUUUUGGGGUGAAAAAUCUAAUUUUGAAAAAGCUCAAUAUAGGAGUUUUUUGCAAUUAGAGGUUUGAGAUAGUGGAUGAAAAUGACUAUUUUGUCCUACUAUUGCCUAUAAUUACAACCACUAUCAACCUUGGUACCCUACAUUAUUUUUGUCCUAAAAACAUUACUCACUUUCUUUUUCAUUUCACCCUAUUUACUAGAUUCGUUUUUUGUUAUAAUAAAUUUUGUAUUAGUACUUUGAAGGAAUAGAAAUAUAUUGCAAUUAUGCUUGAAAUAUCAUUAGUAAUAUUUUUCUAUUUGAAAAAUAUAUAUUACUAAAAAAAUUAAUUAAAAAUAUUUGUUUUAAAAAUUAUUUUAUUUAGUGAUUGUUUAUUAAAAAAAAUAAAGAGAAAAAAAUUAACACAAUAAACUAAUUGUCUAAUAUUAAUAAAAAACAAAGUAUGUCAAUGUCCUUAAUGGUCAUUUUACAUAUUAAACAGCUAACAGCUAUCAGCUAAUUUACCAAACACUUUUACACAAACAGCUAAUGUAACCAGCUAGUCAAAUCAGCUAAUACAAACAGCUAACCGCUAACAGCUAGUCAAACCAGCUAUCAGCUAACAGCUCCUAACCAAACAGGGCCAUAAUAAGUUGAUAUUUAAAAAAUAUUUCAUAAAAUCUCACAUGACUAUUUAUUUUUAACUAUAAAUCACAAAAAAAAGUCAAAAAACUUGUGUGAAUAGAGUCAAAGUCAAAUUGUGUCAACUAAUAAAUUAAAAGCGCGUCUCCUGUGAGACCAGUCACACCAUCAAAUUGAUGGUGUGACGAGCGCAAAACCAAUAGCGUACCUCCCCUAAAACUAAAAAAAAAAAGUAACAGAUCUAAACUAUAGAAGUAACAUACCUAAAUUAAAAAAGUACCUCCUCUAAACUUAUAUUAAAAAAAAGUAACAUGUCUAAACUAUAGAAAUAACAUACCUAAACUAAAAAUGUACCUCCCCUAAAACUAUUCCGUAUAAAAAAAAGUAACAUGUCUAAACUAUAGAAGUAACAUACCUAAACUAAAAAAGUACCUCAUCUAAAAUUAUAUAAAAAAAAAAGUAACAUAUCUAAACUAAAAAAAAUACCUCCUCUAACAUUAUUAAAAAAAAAGUAACAUGUCUAAAAUAUAGAAGUAACAUACCUAAACUAAGAAGGUAUCUCCCUAAAAAUACUUCGUAUAAAAAAAGUAACAUGUAUAAACUAUAGAAGUAACAUACCUAAACCAAAAAAAAGUACUUCCUCUUAAAUUUUUUUAAAAAAGUAACAUGUCUAAACUAUAGAAGUAACAUACCUAAACUAAGAAGGUAUCUCCCCUAAAAUUACUCCGUAUAAAAAAAGUAACAUGUAUAAACUAUAGAAGUAACAUACCUAAACUAAAUAAAAUACCUCCUCUAAAAUUAAAAAAAAAAAAA